UCGACAUGAACUGUCAGUUUCAACUUUUCAAUUUUCAUACAAAUUUAGUUUUCGACUUUCUACAGGUCCAGGUUUUGUUCGCAAUAAUGCCGAGUUGAGCAAGGUGUGACGGUGCAGUAUUAUGACCAAAACGCAGUCUAUAUAUGAUAGGAAUAAAUUCUCGAGUAGCAUUACUUGCAUACGAUGAUACCAAGGUCUUGCAGAAAUAUAUUGGACAGUGUUGGAGAAUUACCACAUAGUAAACCUUGUGCUAUUGUUAAUGCUCUUCUUAGGGAUCUAUCUAUAUAAGGUCAAAGAUUAAAGAGGUGAAACUGUCUGCACUACUACGCCCUCUACGGAAGCCACAGAAACUCAGGACAUUUGUCGGGCUUUAGUAUUGGGACAACACAUUGUGUUUUCCAUGACUGUGGAAUAGAUUUAUUACGCCAAAGCAAAUUGACGAUGUUAAGAAACAACUUUUGGGCAGAAACAUCUAAGUUUUUAAUUACAAUCUUACACCAGACAAACUCUGAAUUGAGAGACGUUGGCAUGUUGGUAAAGCAAAAACCCCAAUGAAAUCAAUGGCAAUGUCCAACAUUAUUAUGUUUACACCCCGGUUGGACAUUGCCUGAAGAAAUCCUGAUGGCGUCAAUACCUAUGUUUAUUUAAACAAACAAAAAAGCAGACGAGAAUAAUACAAUUCAUAAACAUAAUAAUUAUAAUAAAUACUAGUGUUAGA